rnacentral:rRNA from 1 species
AGCGUACACGGUGGAUGCCCUGGCAGUCAGAGGCGAUGAAGGACGUGCUAAUCUGCGAUAAGCGUCGGUAAGGUGAUAUGAACCGUUAUAACCGGCGAUUUCCGAAUGGGGAAACCCAGUGUGAUUCGUCACACUAUCAUUAACUGAAUCCAUAGGUUAAUGAGGCGAACCGGGGGAACUGAAACAUCUAAGUACCCCGAGGAAAAGAAAUCAACCGAGAUUCCCCCAGUAGCGGCGAGCGAACGGGGAGCAGCCCAGAGCCUGAAUCAGUGUGUGUGUUAGUGGAAGCGUCUGGAAAGGCGCGCGAUACAGGGUGACAGCCCCGUACACAAAAAUGCACAUGCUGUGAGCUCGAUGAGUAGGGCGGGACACGUGGUAUCCUGUCUGAAUAUGGGGGGACCAUCCUCCAAGGCUAAAUACUCCUGACUGACCGAUAGUGAACCAGUACCGUGAGGGAAAGGCGAAAAGAACCCCGGCGAGGGGAGUGAAAAAGAACCUGAAACCGUGUACGUACAAGCAGUGGGAGCCUCUUUAUGGGGUGACUGCGUACCUUUUGUAUAAUGGGUCAGCGACUUAUAUUCUGUAGCAAGGUUAACCGAAUAGGGGAGCCGAAGGGAAACCGAGUCUUAACUGGGCGUUAAGUUGCAGGGUAUAGACCCGAAACCCGGUGAUCUAGCCAUGGGCAGGUUGAAGGUUGGGUAACACUAACUGGAGGACCGAACCGACUAAUGUUGAAAAAUUAGCGGAUGACUUGUGGCUGGGGGUGAAAGGCCAAUCAAACCGGGAGAUAGCUGGUUCUCCCCGAAAGCUAUUUAGGUAGCGCCUCGUGAAUUCAUCUCCGGGGGUAGAGCACUGUUUCGGCAAGGGGGUCAUCCCGACUUACCAACCCGAUGCAAACUGCGAAUACCGGAGAAUGUUAUCACGGGAGACACACGGCGGGUGCUAACGUCCGUCGUGAAGAGGGAAACAACCCAGACCGCCAGCUAAGGUCCCAAAGUCAUGGUUAAGUGGGAAACGAUGUGGGAAGGCCCAGACAGCCAGGAUGUUGGCUUAGAAGCAGCCAUCAUUUAAAGAAAGCGUAAUAGCUCACUGGUCGAGUCGGCCUGCGCGGAAGAUGUAACGGGGCUAAAUCAUGCACCGAAGCUGCGGCAGCGACGCUUAUGCGUUGUUGGGUAGGGGAGCGUUCUGUAAGCCUGCGAAGGUGUGCUGUGAGGCAUGCUGGAGGUAUCAGAAGUGCGAAUGCUGACAUAAGUAACGAUAAAGCGGGUGAAAAGCCCGCUCGCCGGAAGACCAAGGGUUCCUGUCCAACGUUAAUCGGGGCAGGGUGAGUCGACCCCUAAGGCGAGGCCGAAAGGCGUAGUCGAUGGGAAACAGGUUAAUAUUCCUGUACUUGGUGUUACUGCGAAGGGGGGACGGAGAAGGCUAUGUUGGCCGGGCGACGGUUGUCCCGGUUUAAGCGUGUAGGCUGGUUUUCCAGGCAAAUCCGGAAAAUCAAGGCUGAGGCGUGAUGACGAGGCACUACGGUGCUGAAGCAACAAAUGCCCUGCUUCCAGGAAAAGCCUCUAAGCAUCAGGUAACAUCAAAUCGUACCCCAAACCGACACAGGUGGUCAGGUAGAGAAUACCAAGGCGCUUGAGAGAACUCGGGUGAAGGAACUAGGCAAAAUGGUGCCGUAACUUCGGGAGAAGGCACGCUGAUAUGUAGGUGAAGCGACUUGCUCGUGGAGCUGAAAUCAGUCGAAGAUACCAGCUGGCUGCAACUGUUUAUUAAAAACACAGCACUGUGCAAACACGAAAGUGGACGUAUACGGUGUGACGCCUGCCCGGUGCCGGAAGGUUAAUUGAUGGGGUUAGCGGUAACGCGAAGCUCUUGAUCGAAGCCCCGGUAAACGGCGGCCGUAACUAUAACGGUCCUAAGGUAGCGAAAUUCCUUGUCGGGUAAGUUCCGACCUGCACGAAUGGCGUAAUGAUGGCCAGGCUGUCUCCACCCGAGACUCAGUGAAAUUGAACUCGCUGUGAAGAUGCAGUGUACCCGCGGCAAGACGGAAAGACCCCGUGAACCUUUACUAUAGCUUGACACUGAACAUUGAGCCUUGAUGUGUAGGAUAGGUGGGAGGCUUUGAAGUGUGGACGCCAGUCUGCAUGGAGCCGACCUUGAAAUACCACCCUUUAAUGUUUGAUGUUCUAACGUGGACCCGUGAUCCGGGUUGCGGACAGUGUCUGGUGGGUAGUUUGACUGGGGCGGUCUCCUCCUAAAGAGUAACGGAGGAGCACGAAGGUUGGCUAAUCCUGGUCGGACAUCAGGAGGUUAGUGCAAUGGCAUAAGCCAGCUUGACUGCGAGCGUGACGGCGCGAGCAGGUGCGAAAGCAGGUCAUAGUGAUCCGGUGGUUCUGAAUGGAAGGGCCAUCGCUCAACGGAUAAAAGGUACUCCGGGGAUAACAGGCUGAUACCGCCCAAGAGUUCAUAUCGACGGCGGUGUUUGGCA